UACGUAGGUGGCUAGCGUUGUCCGGAUUUACUGGGCGUAAAGAGCGCGCAGGCGGUCGUUCAAGUCGAGUGUGAAAGCCCCCGGCUCAACUGGGGAGGGUCACUCGAUACUGAUCGACUCGAAGGCAGGAGAGGGAAGCGGAAUUCCCGGUGUAGUGGUGAAAUGCGUAGAUAUCGGGAGGAACACCAGUGGCGAAGGCGGCUUUCUGGCCUGUUCUU
rnacentral:rRNA from 1 species